AUUGAACGCUGGCGGCAGGCUUAACACAUGCAAGUCGAACGAGUGGCGGACGGGUGAGUAAUGUCUGGGAAACUGCCUGAUGGAUGGGGAUAAAUACUGGAAACGGUAGCUAAUACCGCAUACCCUCAGAUGUGCCAAGAUGGGAUUAGCUAGUAGGUGGGGUAAUGGCUCACCUAGGCGACGAUCCCUAGCUGGUCUUAGAGGAUGACCAUCCACACUGGAACUGAGACACGGUCCAGACUCCGACGGGAGGCAGCAGUGGGGAAUAUUGCACAAUGGGCGCAAGCCUGAUGCAGCCAUGCCGCGUGUUUGAAGAAGGCCUUCGGGUUUGAAAGCACUUUCAGCGAGGAGGCGUUACUCGCAGAAGAAGCACCGGCUAACUCCGUGCCAGCAGCCGCGGUAAUAC
rnacentral:rRNA from 1 species